CUUUCUCGUUGUCAUCCCCCAAGCUACACACGGCUGAUAAAGGAAAGAAAGAAAGGGGAAAAGAGAGAAGACUGCUGCAAGGAAUAAGGAAGGAGGGGGAGACCGCACCUAGCCACUGUGCCACGUUGCCACCAUCACGCCCCGCAGCCAUCUAGCCUGUUCUGCUUUUGAGCCAAGUUUCGUCGCCAUCCAUGGAGCUGUGAGGAUAUGUCGCUGUCGCUGAGGAAAGAAGGUCGCAUGGAGGAGGGAGGAGCCUUUGGGUGCCGCCGCACCUUGCGUUCGUUGCCAUUGCCACCAUUGGUUCGUCGUGGUCGUGGUGUGGAGCUCAGAUGGGAGAGAGAAAGAGAGAGAGAACAAGCGAGAGGAAGAGGAAGAGUUGCAUCCCAUUGCUGCCAUCGCGUUCUGUCACUAGUGCUGCCGUUCCCUACCGCCGUUGCUGCUGUCUGGGUGGUCACCAGCAAUAACCGUCGCUGCUGAAGCUCACCAGAGUUAACCGUUGGAGCUGCGGCUAUUCGGUUCUUUGUUUUUUCUUGGUACAUUGAGUUACUGAAGUUGCAUACUGCGUUCGUUGCUAUCACAGCGUUAUGGCGGAGUUUUUUUGCACGUUACGGCUGCUGAUGCUAUGAACAAAGAGGACAAAACAGAGUUUAUCGCGUAGUUGAGUCGUCGUUUAGACUUCUCUUUUCAGGACAAAGGAGGAAGCUAUGUGAAGAUUUGGUGAUUUCUUAGCUGUGCUGUUUUGUUUGGAUAUAUUGGUCAUAGUUUCUCCCCUCGCCUUUGUCACGAUAUUUUUGUAAGAGGGAUAAAAUUUGUAAGAAGUUUCCUAUAUAUGUAUAUGUAUGUUUGUAUAAAGUAAAAGAGAACUUUCGAUUUUUAAAAGGAAACAGCGAUACAAUUUCGAG